UCAGGAUGAACGCUGGCGGCGUGCCUAAUACAUGCAAGUCGAGCGAACGGACGAGAAGCUUGCUUCUCUGAUGUUAGCGGCGGACGGGUGAGUAACACGUGGAUAACCUACCUAUAAGACUGGGAUAACUUCGGGAAACCGGAGCUAAUACCGGAUAAUAUUUUGAACCGCAUGGUUCAAAAGUGAAAGACGGUCUUGCUGUCACUUAUAGAUGGAUCCGCGCUGCAUUAGCUAGUUGGUAAGGUAACGGCUUACCAAGGCAACGAUGCAUAGCCGACCUGAGAGGGUGAUCGGCCACACUGGAACUGAGACACGGUCCAGACUCCUACGGGAGGCAGCAGUAGGGAAUCUUCCGCAAUGGGCGAAAGCCUGACGGAGCAACGCCGCGUGAGUGAUGAAGGUCUUCGGAUCGUAAAACUCUGUUAUUAGGGAAGAACAUAUGUGUAAGUAACUGUGCACAUCUUGACGGUACCUAAUCAGAAAGCCACGGCUAACUACGUGCCAGCAGCCGCGGUAAUACGUAGGUGGCAAGCGUUAUCCGGAAUUAUUGGGCGUAAAGCGCGCGUAGGCGGUUUUUUAAGUCUGAUGUGAAAGCCCACGGCUCAACCGUGGAGGGUCAUUGGAAACUGGAAAACUUGAGUGCAGAAGAGGAAAGUGGAAUUCCAUGUGUAGCGGUGAAAUGCGCAGAGAUAUGGAGGAACACCAGUGGCGAAGGCGACUUUCUGGUCUGUAACUGACGCUGAUGUGCGAAAGCGUGGGGAUCAAACAGGAUUAGAUACCCUGGUAGUCCACGCCGUAAACGAUGAGUGCUAAGUGUUAGGGGGUUUCCGCCCCUUAGUGCUGCAGCUAACGCAUUAAGCACUCCGCCUGGGGAGUACGACCGCAAGGUUGAAACUCAAAGGAAUUGACGGGGACCCGCACAAGCGGUGGAGCAUGUGGUUUAAUUCGAAGCAACGCGAAGAACCUUACCAAAUCUUGACAUCCUUUGACAACUCUAGAGAUAGAGCUUUCCCCUUCGGGGGACAAAGUGACAGGUGGUGCAUGGUUGUCGUCAGCUCGUGUCGUGAGAUGUUGGGUUAAGUCCCGCAACGAGCGCAACCCUUAAGCUUAGUUGCCAUCAUUAAGUUGGGCACUCUAAGUUGACUGCCGGUGACAAACCGGAGGAAGGUGGGGAUGACGUCAAAUCAUCAUGCCCCUUAUGAUUUGGGCUACACACGUGCUACAAUGGACAAUACAAAGGGCAGCGAAACCGCGAGGUCAAGCAAAUCCCAUAAAGUUGUUCUCAGUUCGGAUUGUAGUCUGCAACUCGACUACAUGAAGCUGGAAUCGCUAGUAAUCGUAGAUCAGCAUGCUACGGUGAAUACGUUCCCGGGUCUUGUACACACCGCCCGUCACACCACGAGAGUUUGUAACACCCGAAGCCGGUGGAGUAACCUUUUAGGAGCUAGCCGUCGAAGGUGGGACAAAUGAUUGGGGUGAAGUCGUAACAAGGUAGCCGUAUCGGAAGGUGCGGCUG
rnacentral:rRNA from 1 species